rnacentral:rRNA from 1 species
GAGUUUGAUCGUGGCUCAGGGCGAACGCUGGCGGCGUGCUUAACACAUGCAAGUCACGGGGGCCCGCAAGGGCAACCGGCGAACGGGUGCGUAACACGUGAGCAAGCUUCCGAUUUGUGGGGGAUAGCCGGCCUAACGGCCGGGUAAUACCGCAUACGUUCACUGGGCGGCAUCGUCUGGUGAGGAAACCUCCGGGGCAAAUCGAGGCGCUCGCGGCCUAUCAGCUAGUUGGCGGGGUAAUGGCCCACCAAGGCGACGACGGGUAGCUGGUCUGAGAGGAUGGCCAGCCACAUUGGGACUGAGAUACGGCCCAGACUCCUACGGGAGGCAGCAGUGGGGAAUAUUGCGCAAUGGCCGAAAGGCUGACGCAGCGACGCCGCGUGUGGGAUGACGGCCUUCGGUUGU